rnacentral:rRNA from 1 species
UACGUAGGGUGCGAGCGUUAAUCGGAAUUACUGGGCGUAAAGCGUGCGCAGGCGGUGAUGUAAGACCGAUGUGAAAUCCCCGGGCUCAACCUGGGAAUUGCGAUGGAGACUGCAAGGCUAGAAUCUGGCAGAGGGGGGUAGAAUUCCACGUGUAGCAGUGAAAUGCGUAGAGAUGUGGAGGAACACCGAUGGCGAAGGCAGCCCCCUGGGUCAAGAUUGACGCUCAUGCACGAA